GUCACCCAUGCACAUUAGGUACAGACUACAGAUUAAACUGGCUGAAAAUCGAGGGGAGUGGCAAUUCGACUUUCCAAGGUAGGGUUUCUUUGUGUUGUCAAGCCCAAAGUCUAUGAACAUGAACAACUUAAUCCCAAUCCCGCCCCUCAACCCUCCCCCCAAAAUCUCUUUUUCUUUUUUCCGUCUUGUUCUGUUAAUUUCUGGUGCGUUUCUUUUGUAAAUUUGAGUUUUGUUCAAAAGUUAUGAAGCUUUAUUCUUCUGUAAAAAAAAAUAAGAAGGCCUUAGUCAGGAUUUGAGAGAGAGAGGGGGGAAGAAGAGACGGAGAACAAGGGUAGCUGCUGCGAUAGCUUUGGUAGAGAUCCGAUCCGAUCGACCACCACUUUCAUAGGAACAAAAGCUGCUGCCGACGAUCUUUUUUCUUUUAACAGAAGAGGGCGAUGGCUAUACUUGGGAGAUUUACCAGUUGUAGAUAGUGAAGCUACUUGGCUGCAAUAUCCUUGUUCAUAUGGUUGUUGCAUUUUGUGGUCAGCAAAAGCCUUAUCCUUAUCCUUGUUUCAUCCGUUCCAUCCCACGCUUUGCUUUCAAUAGUUGUAAUUUGAUGCAUGUGCCUGUUUUGUGCUUAGUGUGGUUGUACUUAUUAUGAAUUUUCUGUUUUGCCCUU